UUGAAUUCUUUCUUAAUUUAUGAAAUAUGUCUUGUACUAUCCAUUGUACAUAUGAACUAUGCAUUAUGUAAAUGUGCAAGUGUGAAGUGAGUGAAAAUGUAGUCUUUACAGCCUUUGUGUUAUUUUUUCCUUCCUUCAGCUCUUUAUUCUCAUUCUCUCCUUCUAAAACUUAACAGUGGCAAUGAAAUGAUUUGGUGAGACGGUGGUGGCUUAUGGAUAAUAGUAGUUAGGGCUCUAUAUUGCAAGAGAGACCAACAGGCAAGCGAUAUUGGCGAGGGGCUUAAGAACAAGAGGAAAAUGUGAUUGCAACGGCAAAAGUUGUGAAAACAGCAAACCAAAAACACAGGAAAGGACAAAAAUAAAAAAUUCAAUGAUGAGAAAAACUCUACAAAUAAGCCAAAUAAAUUCCAAACGUAUUCUCUGGCUGAUUUUCAUAGUCAUUUAUGUCAAAACCUCUUUAUACCAAAUUGAUGCAUAACCACAAAGAACACGCAAAAGGGUAAAAAGUAAUAAACUCUCAAUUCUAUUAAUCAUCGAUUGUCAAUAAAUAUCAACAAUAAUAAGUUCUACCAAAAUACCUAAAUGACGUAGGUAUUUAUGUCAUAAUUGUUAGUCUUAUUAGUGCUAGGAUUAGUAAUCCUUAAACAAGUAUCUACCAAAAUACUUAGAUGACAUAAGUAUUUAUAGUAUAA
rnacentral:misc_RNA from 1 species